CGGGAUGUAGCUCAACGGAUAGAGCGCCUGCUUUGGGAGCAGGAAGGUGUGAGUUCGACUCUCACUGUCCCGA
rnacentral:tRNA from 1 species